GCACCUCCCCCAGGUGGGUGGGGGGGGCAGAGCCAGGUCUCGCUUGGCUCUGGGAGAGGAC
rnacentral:sRNA from 1 species